GUGAAGAAUGGGGCAAUGAGCUCGAUGAAGUGGUUUGAUAACACCUCGAAGCAGUGGAACCACCAUGGGGAGCGAUGCAAGUAAGUAACCUUUGCCUCUUUCCAUGCUGAAGAGAAGACACUGUUUUCUAUGCUAGUGUUAAAAGUGUGGCAAACAUUUCCAGCUAAACAACUUGCCACCAAUUCCAAGAACUUUCCAUCUAGAUUAUCCGUCCCUCCUGGUUUAUCAGUGUUUAUAGUUGAUAAUUGUUGUUCCACUUGUUUUAUAUUUAAUUUAUUUGAUUCAAAUUUCAAAGAGGAAUUGUCUUUUAUAAGUUGUUUAAUUCUGCACUCAUGUGAUCCACUACAGAGUAAAAUAUGUUUUCAAAAG